AUUCUACAUAUCUUUUAAACAUACUGAAACUUCAGAGAAGCUGUAGAAGUUAAACUCACAAAUUUUUGCUUCAAACAUCUGCAGUUCUUCAAUGGGGGAACCUUCAGAAGCUCAAAUGCCUGGACAAAAUACACUUUAUUUGAAUGUGCACUUAGAUUAACUGAUCCCACAAAAGCCAACUCUGUUCAUUUAGGCCAGGAAUUACCCAAUUUGCUCACAUAAUCUCAGCAAUUACACGUUCAUCUUUUUUUAAAUAUCAGCCCUAUGGUGUGAUUUACGUGGUAUGUGAUCUUUUAACUUAACCUCAAAGAUAUUAAUCUUUAUUAAAGGGUAUGAGAGGCAAAGAGGGGGAAGAGAAGCUGGUGACAGAUACUCUGACAGUGAGGAAAAGUAAUUUAUAAAGUGAACAUCAGUAAACAUUAGGAGUGACAUAUUGAUAUCAGCAGCCAGGAAACGGCUGGACGAGCUAGGAUGAGGUAUUACACCUUAAAUUGUGGCAACCAUAUUUUUUUCCCAAGGUUGAUCUUUUAUAUUUUUUAAAGAGAAAUUUACUAUUAUGCCUCCUGCUUCCCCGGUGGUAAAAUGCCAGAAAUUUGACUGAGAUUUACUUAAAGUGACAGCAAUGCCCCACUUUGUCCAAGAAAGAUGAUCACUAAAUGUCACGUCUAUCUACUCUCAUGUGGAUCACUUAUUUGACAUGUUCAUGUCUCAGCUCCAUAGCAGUUUGCAGCAUGUUUCCUGGUGCUCUGAGGCAGUCUGAAAUCUUUGUGGUGAAAACCUGACCUGGCCAAAGGCAAAUCAUUAAAAUAAAUAAAUAAUGCAGUUGGGAUUCGCUGCUCUCCAUUUCAAGGGUGUCAGGCCAGAAAAAGGCAUAAAAAGCCCUCACAAAACCAGACCAAGAGCGUAUGUUUCUGGUCAGGCUGCCAGAAAGCCACGCUGGUGGGAUGCUCUUGCAAUCUCAGCUGACAUAGAACCACAGCAAAAAAGCAAAUACUGGUGUUUAAACACAGAAAAUAAGCUCAUAACCUCAUUUACUCUUUUAUUUAUUUUUUAGGCAAUCUGAAAAAUGGCACACUCUGAACCAGGGCAGAGUGUGCAUUUUCCUAUUUUGCUGCAGGACCCCACUUUGCUGAAUUCCUGGAGGAAGAGAUGCAAAACCAGCUGGGUGUGAGGGAACCAUCAGCACGAGCUCCUGAGCCAAAAUAGGAGCUGAAGCCCCAGAAAGUGGUGGGGUAGAGCUGUGAAUCCUAGCAACAGGCGGGGAAAGAACUGUACAUUUCUUCACGUCCUCCAAGUGUUGUUGCCUUCUGGUACAUCAUUGACAGGAAGAGACAGAGACCAUGGAAAGGCCCUCCUUGCUGAUGAUCAAGAAAGGGCACAUUUUUUCCAGUGGGAUGGUGAAUUAUUGCAGUCUUGGGGGGAAAACAAGCAAAGCAACACCCCACAGUUCAUACUGUUGUUGCUGUUGCAGUUUCCUUCAUCACAAGGCACUGCCUUUUGCUGCAGGGCUUUUUUUUCAAUUUUCUGUGCUCUUAGUCUUUUUUUAAGCCCUUCUCAGUGAUAAUGUGGGCUUUUCUUUUUAAGUGAACUAUGAAAAUUUGCACUCAAAAGUGUGAGCAUAGGGUUCUGCCAGAAAAACCCAUCAUUCUGUGGCCUGCAAUGAAAUCAUGGGUGAUAAAAGCUUCCACCCAUGUUCAGCAGAGAGGGAACUGAAACCAGAGCACUUUUCCUGGAAGAAGAGGCUCCUGCUAAAUAUGUAGCAGUCUUGUCUUGCCAAUAUUAAACUAGCUUUUCUUCCUGGAGAGCCUGUCAAUACAGUUUGACCUCUCUCUGUGGAUAUUCUUCAGAGCCUGAAGCACUCAGAUAAUCUGAAUCCCCAGUACCAUCCUGGGAAGGUGGGUUUCAGUCAAAGAAAAAGUCACAGAGCCUGGGACAAAGAGCAAGGGGGGAUUCCAGACUCCUUGCCCCCAUCACUGUGCUCAGAAAUGCACCAUUUCCCUGCUGAUGCCAGUUUGUCUGGGUUUGCCACCAGUUUUGCCCUUGGGAGAAGCUUGCAGACUCUUAGGAGCUCUGCCUGGAUGUAAACUGUGGGAAGAGGGGUGUGGAGAAAAGCUGGGGGUGUGUAACACAGCCUGCUGCUUCUGUUAAAAACCAAAUUUAUGGAAAGUAGCACUAGUGAGUUGUUGCAUUGGACUGGACCAGCUGCUGCAAAGAGGAAGCACAGCCCUAGACAAGGUUGCAGCAGAAGAGAUUUGGCUCCCAGCUCCCACCAAAGCUGAAGAAAGGUUCUGCAAGCCCUUCUGCCUUUUGGGACAUGUUCAAAAUUCACCCCCUUCCUGGAGCAGCUCCCUACAAAAUUUUCUAAAAAGAUUUCUUGCCAGGAGAGGGGAAGUUUCUUUUAUUAUUGGGGGUUUUUUGCUUGCAAUUUCAGUCUCCGACCUCAUUGAAGGGCUCUGGCAUUUGCAUAACUUCCCACGGAAACUGAAUCAAUGUUUGACAUCAUGGAACAGAAUCUCAGGCAUGAUUUAGCAUUAGUAAGCCACCAGUCAUCAGCACACUGUCAUUCCCCUAUAGCUGACAUCUUAAUAGAGUCAGCCUCAUGCACACACAUGUUCACCAGCAGCAAAUUCUUCUGCUCUGGCCAUGCAGGAGCUUUUCUUUUAACAUGGCCUUGCACAUAUGAACAUCCAAAAGACACUGGUCCAAUAUGAUCAAUUUCCAGGGCUCCAAAUGCAUUUUCCCUUUAGGUAAGAAGGCAAUUUUAAGUCCUCUUAAAUAAUUGAAGAUACUCCUGAUACAAUCAAAAGUCAAGCUCCCCAAGAUGAAAAUGUCUGGAUGAUGAAUAAGUUAAUGGAACUAAAAUCCCAGUCGUGGCUGAUUAGGGGACCAGGAGAGUUUAUCAGAGAUGGGAAUGUACAAGUCCAGACACAGCCUGACCUUGUAACAAAUGAGAGCUGAAAAGCAAUUAAUUGAGAAAUUAUCAGGGAAAAACGAAGUUGUAUGGUUGGUUAGCUAAAGCAAUAUGUCAAUGGGCCAGGGAUUGAUUUGCCUGGAAUACCUCAAGGUCUCUGUUCUGAUGAUUCAGGACUUGAAGGAACUGGCCCGAGCCAAGCAAUAAAAAUAAAACAGGGUCAGGAGAGGGAGUCAUCAGUCAGCACUAGGGAUCAUGUAUUAUUUAGCUGGUAGUUAAGGGAAAUUAUCAAACAAGAGCAGACUUUAAACCCAAGUUUUUUUCCCCGUGGGAGGGAAAAUAAAGGGAGAGAAAAUAAAAUGUUCCUUUGUACCAAUGCUCACUGUCCUCAGCCCAAACACUGAGUUUGGGAGCUGGGUCCUGGGAGCAGGAGGUGCCAGGGUUGAAUGUUCACAGGGAGGGAUGAUCAGUCCUGACAGUGGGCAUCAUUUAUUGCUGAGCUAUUUCCUCCCUUCCUGCUGCCAACAGGCUGCACAGGACCUCUGCACACACCAGGACCUGCCCCAGGCCACCAAACUAACAGUGAACCUUUAUUUAUCUCAACUUGGACCUUGAUUUAUAUCAACUCAUCCACACAUCAGCUUCCCACGUCCUAUAUAUUUGGGAAACUCUUGGUGGGACCACAACUUGUACAUGUUGAUCUGAGCUGCAAAACGUGUCUGCAAACACAGUUUUCCUCCUUCAAAGGUGAGUACAAAGCUCUUGAAUGAGACUGUAGUAUCCUGUAGCUCAGAGGAGCAGCAAAGCAAAUGAAAACAGCAAAACAAAUGAUAUAUAAAGUCUUCUAGAAAGAUCAGUGCGUUGGGUGAGAAUAGCUGUGUCUUGUGACACUUCACUAAAUAACACUAAACUCUGUCUCUCCCUUGCGGAAGAAAGAAGAAAAAUCCCACAGAACCAGCCAGUACAUGUUCUGUGGCAGGAUCAGGGCCUCAGACACCACAAACUGUUCCUUUUUGGGAUCAAGAUCCUGAGAUGCUGCAGAAAAUUUUUUGUUGGAAAAUGCAGCUAGCUUUCCCAUCAGGACAACAGUUUAAGUUCUGGGGUUUUCUUAUAGAAAAGCUUUCUAAAUACUUCAGAUUUGACAUUGGGUCUUUUUUUGUCAUGUUCCCCACUAAUCAAAAUUAGAAAAAAGCUGUGAUUUUAGCUUGUUGCAUUUCAAUAUGUAAUGAAUACAAGAAACUCCAAUAUUUCACUGCAAAUAGCCAUUGCUGAUGCAAAAAUAAGUUUCUAAAAGGAAAUUCCAACAGCAGCUGUGAGAUAAGGGAACAGCUUUAUCCCACUGCCUAUGGACAUAUCUGAACACAUUUCUGGGACUCACAGCAUGUCACGCUCCGUGUAAUGCAUUUUCCAUUUGUCCUGACCUGAGAGCUUUGCAUUCAAGGAGCAGAUCCCCCAAGUGAAUUCAUCAGGAGGAAUAAUAACCAAUGCAAGGGCUUGGGCUGCUGGGCCAGCAGAUCCAUCCUGCAGUUGUCAGUGGGAUGAAAUUCAGGGUGGCACAAAGGACACAGCAAUAUUUUCCCAGUCUAUUUUAUUGAAAUGCAAGAGAAAGGUUUCUUUUUGGGGAUUGCAUCAUUCCUCUCCUCUGAGGCCAAGCUGCUGCACAGUCUCAGUGCAGCAUCUGGGAGUUUAGGAGGUGAUGGUGGAGGUGCUGGAAUAUCCCAGCACUAAUCACCUAUUAUCACCUUACAAUAAUUAUCAAAGCUGAUUCCAAAUAAAUCCUCUUUGGAGCAGGUCCUUGGCUGGCCCUCUGCUCUGCAAAGUGCAAACACAACCACCCCCAGUAAAACCAGUGGAAUCCCAAAUGUGACCUCAGGUUGCAUGAAGCAGUUAUCUGGGUAUAAUCACUGGGAUGGAAUAAAGUCAUUUUGUUCUGCUAGGAAUCAGGAGAUCUUUUUUUGGAGCAUCCUGCUCCACAGAAGCUGUGCUGGACUGCACUCUGAUCUCACAAAGCUGGGAGAAAUUCAGAGAUUUGGCCUCUUUAUUUUCUUUACGGCUUUCAAUGGCAGUCAAAGACUUUCAGUAUAAAGGCUGUGAUGCUUUAAGAUUGUCACAACCUGGAAGGGCAGGAAAAUGCCCAGUCUGGAGUCUGACACAGUUUCCAUUGUAAAUUAAAUGGCGAAGGACCAGCAAAGGCAUGAAGCAGUUCACGCCAGCAGUACUUUUGUGUAGUAGUGCUAGUGUGAACUUUUGUGUGCCUGAGCCCACCCAGGAAGGGGGAGAUGGUCAGGUACCACUGGCUCCAGGUGCCAUGACCCACACCCAGGACUCUGAAGGAGUGUGGUGUGUUCCCAGCCCUCCCAUACAUUUCUUAUAGAAGUUCAGCUGAACCAUUCAGCUCCUCUUUUAUCUCCAUGUCUUGUUAAAUGUGGAAUCAUCCUAUUUUCAUUCCCAUUCACCUGAUGGUGGGUGGGAUCACAGUCCCAGGCACCACUGCAGUGGGGUGUCUGGGAGCACUGGUCCAUACUUGCAAUGGCAAAUUUGUGUCUGUGAUUCUGUGGGGAGAAGGAAGUCAUUCAAGCAGGCAGGCUUUGGGGGUCUAGGCUUUCAAAUAUUGGGUACUGGCCUCAAAAAGAGCUUGGUAUGAGAGACAGGCUUAGUUACAUCUCUACAUCCCACAUUUAGGCUGGUUGCUGUUGUUGCAAAGGGUUAACAGACACUGCAAAACAUUUCUAGGAUGAAGUGCUAAGAUUUAGUGUACUGAAUUAAUUCUUAAAUUAGAACAGGGGAUUUGCACAUGAUUUCUAAGGGAAAUUAUCUUCUGGGUAAAAUUAAUACAGGAGAUGUUUCAACAUCUGGGAUGGCAUUAUUAUAAGCAAUGAUUACCCAGACAUUGCCAAAAGAAAGAGAUCACAGUAAACUGUUUCUUUUCCCAAGCAAAGUAAGCUCCUCACCCUGAAGGGAGGAGAAUAUUUGCAGAGCCUUGGCUUAUUUGGAAAUGCACAGGAGGAUUCUACAUGAGAAAAAGGCUGCCUGCUUUGCUGAUGGAUGGUUGGGAAGCAGAAUUGCAGACAGGGAAGGCUCUCUCUGCAGGUGGGCUCCAGGCACCCGCCUGCCUCCCUCUCCUCUGAGCUCCUCAUCAAAAAAAGGUGCUUAAUGCAGUGCUACAGAUGUCCAGGUGCUUAAUGUUGGGAGGUUAAAGAGGAAACACACUGGCAGACGUGACCUGGAAAACCUCCAAGAGGGAGGUUGGUCCUUCUGCUCCUCACCCGGAGACCACAGAACUCCUCCAAAUGCCUCAUCUUCCUCCAGCCUUCAGAGGGGCAGCUUUUCCCUGGCGAAAUUUUAAAUAAAGCAGAGAGUAAAGCUAAAGCAAGACCUGCAUCAAAACAAUCACACCCCAGGAGGAGCUCAUAAAUAUUUAUUUUCCUUCAGUCUAUUUCAUUUUGUCAGGAAAAGAGGAGGGCGCUUGAGUGGGAAAAGGAGACCAGUGGCACAGUGCUCCUUUCACAGGGAAAAACACCAAUGUUUAAUUUAAAAGGGCAUAAAUAUAAAAGAAAUGCCUCUUUACUCUCGUGUUAGUAGCUGACUAUUAAAUUACAUCACAAGUGCUACGUGUGGGACCAGGAGAGUGCACGGUUAUUUCUGUCUCCUAAACCGGAGUGCAAGUCUCAGCGUAAUUACUCUGGAUCCAAGUGUAAUUACCAACUGAUCUGCAGGAACAUAGACAGCAGUGACAUCCAUCCCGGGCAGCAGCAGAGCCUGCUGAUAACACAGCAUCAUUAACACAGCUUAGCACUUCCCUCCGAGGCUGCAGCCGUGCUUCUCCUCGGAAAGGGCUCGCGGGUCGGUGGCCGGGAUGGCCCAGGAGCCACCUGAGCUGCUGCCCCACCUGUGCCAGAGCUGGCAGCAAACCAUGAUACCCUAAUCAUGGGAAAUUAGCCUGGGACAGAGGGUUUUUUCCCAAGAUGGAUCCUCUUGUUUUGGUAUUUCUGCAACCUGCCCAUUUUUCCCCAAAGUCAAUGAUGAGAAGGAGGGUGCUGAGUCCCCCUGGGGUCACCAUCUUUUUGUUUGGCUUUCUUCUUUUUAUUCUGCUUUACUGUGACAUCAUCAUGCUCAGAUUUUGGAAUAUUUUCUCUAGAGUUCACACCUCAUCUAUCUUCUUUUGGAAGACAGUGGGUUUAAGGAUAUUCUUUUCUUUAUUCUUUAUCUUAUUUUUUUUUCCAAGGCUGAAAGCAUCACAGUAAACAACCUAUUUAUUCUGAUGGUCUUGGAAGCUUUCUCUACAACUCCAAGAAGGUCAGAGAAAUGAUUCAAAAAGAGAAAAGGAGAGAAAAAAAAUCCUCUUCUCUUGUCAUGAUUGCCUGUUUUGUUACCACACCUUCUUAGUGCUAUGGUGUUGCAAAGACAAUGCAAUGGACCAGUGUAGAAAUGAAGAUGCACUAAACAUAAAUAAAAAUGAUUUCUUUUUUCAAGUUGGUGUUUUCAGGUAUUUUUAGUUGUGUCCAUUCUAGCUCAUAAACACAAACAAAUGAAAAUAUGAUAAAACAUAAUUUGACAUAAUUUCCUGUAAAAAGUACUGAAACUAAGAUUAUGCAAACACACAAGAAAAUAUCUCCCAGCUCCUGUGGGUAGCAAUGCAUUUGCUCCCAGCUCAGGGUCAGUGAUGGUAAAGUGAGAUUGACAGGGUAACUAACCCCUGAAGGAGGUUUUCCAUUUUGGUUAGUCCUGCUAAUCCAUGCUUGCUGCUUUGAAUGAGCUCAGUUGCACAGAGAGAUCUUAUUUUUUUCCCUGAAUCUGCUCAUGUGUUGGUUUUAUCUGAGCAGCUCCGCAGAUGUCAGUGAGACACAUUUUGUUUUGAGUUACAUCAGCGUAAAUCACAACUGAUCCAGUGAACUCAGAUACCCUCUUUGCAGUGAGAGCUGUGACACAAAGAGUUUGGUGCCACGGUAUUGUGACAGCUUAAAGCCCCUCCACGAGGAAACAAAGUCAGGCUCAGCGCUGUCCUGGAACACAUUACAAAGCAUGUUUGUUAUUGCACAGAAGACAGCAUUUGCCUUGGCUGUGAACAAGAAACCAGAUCUGUAACAGCUAAGAUUUCAUCUCUACCAUUUAUCCAAUGAGCUUCCCAAUCCUCUUGCACAGAUACCCUGCUGCUAACAUAGCAGUCAAGAUCAGAGCACUUAAUCAAUCACUCACUGAGGACAAAUAUGCGUAAUCUAAAUUAGAACAAACCCAGGCAUAUUUUACAUGACAGCCCUACAGAUUUUUAAGAAAAAGCAUUGGCAAGAAAAUUGCAUGAGAACAAAAUUGUUUUGUGUUUAUGCUUAAAGUGGUAGAUUUCCUAAAAGCUUCUGUGGUAUUAGGUAGCCUUGAAUAUACAGGGGCAAAAUUCUGCUUUCACUGCUUUGACUUCCACAUUUUCAUCAAUAAACCAGGGAUGCAUGUGGUCCCUCUGGCUCUGAAGCAGAAAUCCUGCUGCAGACCUCAGUAUGAUGUAGAGUCCUUCUUAAAAACCUUUCAUAUUUUAUGAUCACUGUCGACUCUCUUAUGAUCAGUGUUGGUUCAAGCUUUCAUGAAUCAAAAAUCAGCUCGUGGAACGCAUCUUAGAGCAACCUAUUUGUCUGCAGCUAGCAAAGGAAAGUGGUACUUUGAAGAAUAAACCCCUCCGCCUUCAGAACGAUGCUCAGGCUGCACAGGAGGCUGGAGCAACUUACAGAUUCUAUUCAGGCUCCUCUCUGGGCAUGCUGGGUGACCUUGUGUUCUCCCAUUUUCCUCUGGGGGAGAUAUUAUUUAUCCCUGAUAAUAAAACACAGGAUUCUUCAACUGCAACUCAUGGUUUAAUCUAUUGUGUCAACUUACACAAGCUCCCUUGGAAAAAAAAGAAAGAUCAGAGGCAAUAAAAGGAGUAAAAAAUGAAGCAUCUUUAACUGAAGUCAUACAACUUUCAUCUGAGGUCAGGCCCACUUUGCCCUGACUCUGCAGGGUGGGAUCUCCAGAGAGGAGCAUCCCAGAGAUGGCCUUUGAGAGUGGGUGGCAGCUUUUGCACAGCUCACAGUGCCCAUCAGCCUUGGAGACCUUGGAGCUUUGGGUACAAACCCAACAAGCAGCAGGAAGGCUGAGCCCAGCCUCUGUCAGGGCAGUCAGCACUGCCUCCUGAAAGGAGGAGUUCUGAAAAAAUGCUGGAAGUGUCUGUGCACACAUCCCUUCUCCAUGCACCUCUGCAGAUCGGGCUCUAAGGUGUCCCUUUGUUGAAAUUCUGUCUCUGCUUCUCCAGAAGAAGCAAACAGUCCAACAAAAGUUCACACAUCACCAAACAUCCCAUGGAGACUGAAUUUCAGUUUAUUGCCCUGUCUUGGGACUUUUAAAUAUCUAUUUCACUUCCUGCAUGAAAGCAGGUCUGAUCCAGAGUGCAGCAGGACUCAUUUGCUCUCCUCUGACUUGGUUUUGGAGGGAUCUGUGAGAUUUUCCAGGGACAACUGUCACACUGUUCUCCCAGUCAGCUUGCUGAGGUGAGGCAUUACCAGCAUGGGCAGGUUUGAUCAAAUUUGUUAGAGAGAUGCUGGCAAAAGCAAUGAUCUAAUAUUGCAAUUAAAGGCAAUGUUGAAUACCUACUCCCAGAAAAGUUUGGGAGAAGCCAUACAGAGGACUUGAGGACUUUGGAAAACUUUAUCUCGGAUGUGCAAGGAGGGAUUAGUAUGCCUACUUGCUUAAUUUUGCAGCCAGAGGUCAAUUAUGGAUUUUACUUGGAUCUCUCAGCUUCAAAGAUCAGCUCUGAAUAUGAAGCUUCUUUCUGCUUAAGGACAAGGCAGAGACUCUGCAGGUAGCAGCGACCUGGAAGCAGGAUUCCCACUUUCCACCAUCCAGACAAUUUCCAGAAAUCACUUUGCAUUACAUUUUGAACUUAGAUGCUCAGUUAAUUCCAGACAGAUCCCCGUUAAAGUGCCUCAGUGCAUGGCCUGGCUUUUUUGAUUUUUUUAACUUAACUUUAUUUUUUUAACUUCUCAAGUUUUGACUUGGUCACUUGCCUGGGAGGCUGCUGUGUGAAGGUGCAUGAGGAUGGACUGGAGCAUCUAAAUGGAGGCCCCCAAACAGGAGCAUUUUUCCCUUAAUCUUCCCUCACCGCUGGGAAUAAUAAUUCCUUGCAGGGCUGUUGCACAGCUUGAUUCAUUAAGGCUUAUGAAGUGCUUUUAGCUCCAGCACUGAAAGGCUCUGAGCAAGUUAUUUGGGACUGCUCAGGUGUUAGGAGGAGAGGCAUUGCAGAAGGAAUACAAAUAAAUCAAGAGAAACUGCCCCUUCCUCCCAUGCAUCCCCUGCCCAGCACUGUUCUCCAUCACUGUUGGUGUCAAACAGUUAAUUUACAAGCCCAGCACUUUACAAAGCCCCUGGAGCACCAAUUGUCCCUUUCUCAUGCAACAUCAGCUCCUCAAAACAGCCAGCUGAGUCUCCGGGGUCAGCCUGCUCCUGCCCUUCCCAGGGCAACUCCAGCCUCUCUCUGGAGCCGCCUGGGCAUUUAUUUUUGGACAAGUCAGAGCCAGCACCACCCCCCUGCAGCAGGAUGUGCAGAAUAAGCCCGGGGUGCAGGCUGCCAUGUGCUUGGCCCAGGAGGGGACACUGGCUUGGGGAAGGUGACCCAGAUGCCCCAGCCAGCCCAUCACCCAUCAGGGCAUCCCCAGCGCUCAGCCUGGCAGGACGAGCCAGGAGAGCCACAGGCAAAGGACCAGGCCCAGGGCUGGGGAAGGUGAAGGCAGCAGAUCUUUCACCAGGCUUUUCUUCCCCCUCCCUCCCUCCUCUCAGCCAGUCUUCCUCCCCUCCUCCAGUCUGUUGCACAGGAGCUGCCGGCCAUGCUGUUCCAGUUCAGGGGCUCCUGCAACAGAAAAGAUCAGCUGUUGGAGAACCCAUGGAAAGCCCUGGGGGAGAGCCAUGGCCGCAAGGUAAUCAGCAGGCAAAGUUAUUACCAUUAUGCUGCUAAUUAAUUCCCAGCUCAUUACGUUUCCUGUGGCUAAUUUGUACUCGCCGCUGAUUUGAUUAAACUCAUCUCUAUGCUAAUAAAUGUGUUUUCCAUUUGUUUUAGCGACUGUAGGAAGAGAGCCCGGUAUUUACAUAUUUUGACGUUUAUCAAAUAAAACGCGGCGCCUGAA